rnacentral:tRNA from 1 species
UAAAAAAUAAGCUAAACUAAGCUAAUGAACUCAUACUUCACUUAUAAGGACACUCCUUUUUUUUAU